ensembl:lncRNA
GCUGGGGUAAAGGGGAGUUUGGACUCCCUGAGCCUUCAGCCGGGCUGCUUCUGGUGAAAAGGCAUUGCCCUGGGGUCACAGAUUGAAACGUAGAGGCAGGAGUUGAGGCAGGAUUGGGGCCAUAACCUGGGCUUCACUUCCACCAAGAAAGAAUGCGUGCACGUGGAGGAAAUGAAAAUCUAAAUCCCAAACAGCUGCUGUUUCACACCCACCAGGGCAGAGUUAAAAAGGCAGAAAACAACAAAGGUUGCCCAGCCGUGGUUGGCUGGUGAGAGGGAGAGUGCGUGCCCCCCAGCACUGAGGACAGCGUGGGAGCUUGUGAGAGUCACAUCCGGAAUUGCUACAGGAUCCAGCAAGUCCGCUCCUGGGCGUCUGCCCUGGAGAACAGAAUACAGGGGUCAGACAAAACCCUGGGCACAGAUUUCCCUGCAGCAUUAGCUGCAAUAGCUGAAAAGUGAAACAAACUAAAUGUCUACAAACAGAUAAGCAGAUACACAAAACAUGGCCUAGCCACGCAAUGAAAUAUCCAGCCAUAAGCGGCCAGAGGACUGAGUCCCGAGGCGCGACACGUGGGAACCUCGAAAGCAGCGUGCUCGGUGCAAGAAGCCAGGCUCCAAGGCCAGAGUGUGUGAUUUCACUUCUCAGAAAGGAACAGAUAGGUAAACCCACAAAGCUGGGAGGUGGACGGGGGUCGGGAGUGUGGCCUGUCUGCUGAUAGGUACAGGAUUUCUUUUAGGGCUGGUAGAAAUGUUGCCAAACCCAUCGUGGUGAUGGCUGAGAGGUGUGAUACGGAAGAAGCACAGGUAGGCAGGAAGAAGACAAGGAAACUGUAAUUCCGAGCCCUGACCAAGGGACCCGUGCAUAUGCUCCCCAUCUUUACACCCCAGGCUUGUUAUUUCUUCCAGGUCCACGGCACUUGAAUCCCUUAAAGAUACCCUAAAUCCAUAAGCAAAUUGAGCUGAUAAGGUAAAGGGCAGAAACCUGACCUUCAGAUGUAAAAAGAUUCAAGGCGUUCAGAGAUUUUAGGGAAAACACCUUAGAUUCUCCGUCUUAAAGGUACCUCCAAGACCACAGGUCUAUCUCCAGCCCAGGGCCUAAGGGUCCCUCUUGAGGCCACCGCUCCUGGUGGUGGGCAGUGCCCAAGCAUUUCCAAAAGCAAUCUGGCACUUAGUAUCAAGAAUGUCAGCUGGGCUGCAUGCGCAUCUCGGUGGGAGAGCAUUUGCCUAGCGUGCUCAAGGCCCAGGUUUGAGUUCUCCACACUGCAAAAUUAAAAAAAUAAUGACAAGAAAGAAAGAAUGCCAGAAAAGCUGGGUGGCACAUGCCUUUAAUCCCAGUGUGGGGAGCAGAGAGAGGGCCCCACCCUAAUCUGAGUCUGUGAUUCUGUCACCUUACGUGGCAAAGGGCUUGGGGUGUGGUUAGGAAGGAGUUGGGAGAUUCUCCUGGGUCACCUGGGAAACCUGCCUGACUCUGCCUGGGAGACAACACAGCUUCGCCUGCAGUUCCCCACAGGCCCCGGCCGGGUCGCAGCGAAGUUCAAGGUCAGUCUGAAGCAGCAGUCCCUCCUGGAGAAAUGUCUUUACCUGUUCCUCAGACUGGUACAAAACAAGAAACGAGAUCAUCUUUGUCAGGAGGUUGUCACAGUCCUUGCAUUUAUUAAGUGCUCCAUGAUAACUGGCCAAUCGUUAAAACUUUUCUUUACAGGAAUUGUAGUUAAACCAGGCAUAGGGUGAGGCCUGCCUAUGAUCCCAGCUGGAAGCUGAGUCAGGAGGGUUGCAAGGACAACUCCAAGGCCAGCCUGGGGAAUUUAACAAGAUCCUGUCUCAAAAUAAAAAGGGCUGGGGAUGCAGCUCAGUGGUAGAGCACUUGCCGAGUAUGCGGGAGGCCUUGGGUUUGUCCCCCAGCACUGAGAAGGAAUUUUAUUUACAUUAUGUAUUGUUCAAUCAAGAAAGAAUACAGAUUACAUCCAUAUACCAUCUACAUAGAAAUGCUAGGAAGAGAGAAAAUUAUAUAUAUGGCUUUUCCCCAUGAGUGAUAUUUGUUCUAUCUAAAUUUUUCAUGUAUUUUCUGAGGGAUGUUUUACUUUUACUCAUAAAAAAAAAUCCAUUUGCAACCCAGCGCUCCGGGCAGCUGAGGCAGCAGGGUCGCCAAGUUUGAGGCCAGCCUGGGCAAUUCAGCAGACCCUGUCUCCAAAUCAAAUAUUUUUUAAAGUUCUGGGAAUUUGGCUCAGUAUUAAGGCACCUCUGGUUCCAUUCCCCAGUCCCACAAAAAACCGAAGUGUUUUUCAAAUAAGGCCCCUUCCCCACCACCACUACCAUCACCCCGCCCCUCCAGUGCCCUCGGAGCUUCCUCCCCAGGUGGGCCCAAGCCCCGCUGCUUCCUGCCAGCCCUGCCCCUCAGCUCUGCCCCACCCAGCUCCCCUGUCCCUGGGGUCUGGAUUCACCGCGUGGGCCAAAGCUCGAGGCUUGCUGGUACCGGAAGAGUCAGCCUGUGGCUCCCCAGCCCUACCCCCGACUGAGCAGGCUUCAGCCAGGGGCUUCCCAGAGGGCGCGGCUAGAGGAUCCCAAGCUUGAGCCCACUCUGGGCAAUUUAGUUACUUAGCGAGAUCUUGUCUCAAAAUAAAACAAUUUUUAAAAGGGCCAGAGAUGCAGGUCAGCAUGAAGGCCCUGAGUUCAACCCUUGAUAGAAAAAGAAAGGGAAAGGAGGAAAGAGGAAGGGAGGAAGGGAGAGAGCAAGCUUGCUUUAUGUAAACAUUUCAAAACUAUGAAAGGCGGGGAAAGGGAAAAGAACCCGGCCUUCUCCAGGCCCACAUUCAAGGUUGCCCCUGGGGCACUUUCCCAGCUUGAAAAGCCGGAAACAGACCCACAGCCCCCACGCC